CCCUGGUUAGCUGACUUGGUAUAGCGCUCCACAGGAAAGGGAGAGGUCCCUGGUUCAAUACCAGGACCAGGCG
rnacentral:tRNA from 1 species